rnacentral:rRNA from 1 species
UACGUAGGCAGCAAGCGUUUGUUCGGAGUUACUGGGCGUAAAGAGCUCGUAGGCGGCUGUUCAAGUCGAACGUGAAAACUCGGGGCUCAACUCCGAGCCUGCGUUCGAUACUGGACGGCUAGAGUCUGGUAGGGGGAUCUGGAAUUCCUGGUGUAGCGGUGGAAUGCGCAGAUAUCUGGAGGAACACCGGUGGCGAAGGCGGCAUCCUGGACCGGUAUUGACGCUGAGGCGCGAAAGCUAGGGGAGCAAACGGG